UGAAAAUGAGGAAUAAGUCUUCUUUGUCUCAUCAUCAUUGAUUCUGUGAGGCAAAGAGAUGACAGAUGAGAUAUUGUUCCAGUGAUUACUCAUUCAGAUUGACGGUUCAGAUGUUGCUCGUCCACAU